rfam:Caprimulgus carolinensis contig86359, whole genome shotgun sequence.
UGCAGCCCUGUCAAAUUCGAUCCCUGCCUCUUCCGUGGUGAGGAUCGGCCAAACGGCUGCCACAGCAACUUCUGUGCUGGCUGAGCCCUGUGUCCCCUUCCCGUGGGACUGGGGGGGAGAAAGUCACACCACGGACACAU